rnacentral:rRNA from 1 species
UCCACGCCGUAAACUUAUGGGUGNUACCAGUCAGGUAAGCUUGCUUUCUUGUUGGCGUCUAGCUUACGCAUUAAGCACCCCGUCACUGUGGGAGUACGGUCGCAAGAUUAAAACUCAAAGGAAUUGACGGGGGACCCGCACAAUGCGGUGGAGCAUGCUGGUUUAAUUCGAAGCAACGCGCAGAACCUUACCAUCCCUUGACAUCUGGAUCGCGGCCCGAGAGAUCGGGCUUUCAGUUCGGCUGGAUCCAAGUACAGGUGUCUGCAUGGCUGUCUGUCAGCUCGUGUCGUGAGAUGUUGGGUUAAGUCCCGCAACGAGCGCAACCCUCGCCUUCAGUUGCCAGCAUUCAGUUGGGCACUCUGGAGGAACCGCCGGUGAUAAGCCGGAGGAAGGUGGGGAUGACGUCAAGUCCUCAUGGCCCUUACGGGAUGGGCUACACACGUGCUACAAUGGUGGUGACAAUGGGUUAAUCCCCAAAAGCCAUCUCAGUUCGGAUUGGGGUCUGCAACUCGACCCCAUGAAGUUGGAAUCGCUAGUAAUCGCGUAACAGCAUGUACGCGGUGAAUACGUUCCCGGGCCUUGUACACACCGCCCGUCACACCAUGGGAAUUGGAUCUACCCGAAGACGGUGCGCCAACACUCAGCAAUGAGGAGGCAGCCGGCCACGGUAGGUUCAGUGACUGGGGUGAAGUCGUAAUCAAGUAGCCGUAGGGAAC